rnacentral:rRNA from 1 species
AAAGGAAUAGACGGGGCCCCGCACAAGCGGUGGAGCAUGUGGUUUAAUUCGACGCAACGCGAAGAACCUUACCAAGGCUUGACAUCCUACUAACGAGGCAGAGAUGCGUCAGGUGCUCCUUCGGGAGAAAGUAGAGACAGGUGGUGCAUGGUUGUCGUCAGCUCGUGUCGUGAGAUGUUGGGUUAAGUCCCGCAACGAGCGCAACCCUUGCCUUCAGUAGCCAGCGCGUAAAGGCGGGUACUCUGGAGGGACUGCCGUGGAUAACACGGAGGAAGGUGGGGACGAUGUCAAAUCAUCAUGCCCUUUAUGUCUUGGGCUACACACGUGCUACAAUGGACGUAACAGAGCGAAGCGAAGUUGUGAAAUGGAGCAAAGCGCAAAAAAGCGUCCUCAGUUCGGAUUGCAGGCUGCAACCCGCCUGCAUGAAGCCGGAAUCGCUAGUAAUCGCGAAUCAGCAUGUCGCGGUGAAUACGUUCCCGGGGCUUGUACACACCGCCCGU